GGGCCAAUCAUGAACAUACACGUACAAUCAGGCUCUUUCAGAAACCAAUCAUGAACACCACUGACUCAUGGAACAGGUCUCUAAAAAGCUUAUUUUCGUUUGAGGGAAGCAUCUUAUUUUUUAUCUGUCAUUUGGGUGACACUGUCAACUUGCUUUGCUGAGGCUAAAACCUGUGAUUUGACCAGUUUUGAGAUGGAUAACUUCACCAGCAACACAUGGGCUUCACUUGCUCUUCUGGAGAUGUUCGAUUUCAUCGAUGAUCUGAUCGAUGCUCUGCUCGAUGAUCGGAUGGAUGUUCAGACCGAAGCUCUGACCCAUGCUCUGAUCCAUGCUGGGCUCAAUGUUCAGAGCAAUGUUCGGAUCGAUUUUGGGAAACAUGCUCUGAUCGAUGAUCUGAUCGAUGCUCUGAUCAAUUUUCAGACUGAUGAUCUGAUGCAUACUCUGAUCGAAGCUCUGAUCAUUUUUCGUAUCGAAGCUCCGAUCAGUGUUUGGUUCAAUGCUUGGAUCCCUGCUCCGAUCCAUACUUUUACCCGUCUGCUGAGGGACCCCCUGAUUGAGAGCCUUCCUAUCUUCUAUCAGCAACGCAGAAAUCCUCUUCAGCUCUUCUUCUCCGCCAUGACAACCGAUCCAGGCCAGAAGCAAUGGGUAGACAAGGGCAGAUGCUCGGAGCGACCACAAAAAGACCAAGCUACUACUACUCCUCCUCCGGAUGUGUGGUCUUCAGCCUCCCCUUGGGGCGAGGACUAUAUCAAGGACCAGGGCCAGGACUAUAACAAGGACCAGGGCCAGGACUAUAACAAGGACCAGGGCCAGGACUAUAACAAGGACCAGGAGCAGGACUAUAACAAGGACCAGGACCAGGGCCAAGGUAACGGAUGGAGAAGGACUAUAACAAGGACCAGGGCCAGGACUAUAACAAGGACCAGGGCCAGGACUAUAACAAGGACCAGGGCCAGGACUAUAACAAGGACCAAGGCCAGGACUAUAACAAGGACCAAGGCCAGGACUAUAACAAGGACCAAGGCCAGGACUAUAACAAGGACCAGGAUAAGGGCCAAGGUAACGGAUGGAGAAGGACUAUAACAAGGACCAGGGCCAGGACUAUAACAAGGACCAGGGCCAGGACUAUAACAAGGACCAGGGCCAGGACUAUAGCAAGGACCAGGGCCAGGACUAUAACAAGGACCAGGAGCAGGACUAUAACAAGGACCAGGACCAGGGCCAAGACCCACCCCCAGAGCCUGACGCGGGGCAACGUGUGUCCUUCUGUCUCCUUGAUGAUCAACCCCAGGUGUCCAUAUGUGGAGGCAAGGGAUCCUCGACUGCUUCACCACCUGGAAGACCGUGCUGGCCAACCUGUCACUGCUCGUCACAGAAUUUAGGUCUGCAUUUCAAAAGGAAACGUCCUUCUUUGCCACAUAUCCAAUCAGAGCUCAGAUGCUACCUACUGCAGCACAAUCCAAUGCACAUGCAGUCUUUGGAACCUGGCAGCUGACCUCAACUAAGCAGCUCUACCCCAAAAGCCAGACAUUCCUCACUGUCCCCCACACCACUUCCUAGAGAAAUAGGUUCCAUAGAUCUGUCCAUUCUGAGUCAACCUUGCUGCAAUUGGACCCUACUGCAUGCAACUCACUGCUAGUCCAGUUCCCUCCCUCUGCAAAUGAUCCAGAACGUAGCAAUAUCUGGUGUUACAACCUUUCCAUGUCCUCCUAUGUCAUACCACUCCUCCACUGGUUUCCUGAGGAUGCUUACAUCAAAUGUAAUACUCUGUUGCUUGAUUCAGUGCAGUGAAGGGCACUCCUCUUCCUUUUUUCAACAGUGAACAUCUAAAUAGAGGAUGAUAAGUGUGUGUGUUUGUUUUUCCAUGCCGCUGCUGCCUUCACCCCUAUUACAGCGCUUCUUUACAUGUUGCCUUGUAUGUGUUUGUGACUGAACUGAUUAACAUGUUACAAAUAUGAACUAUACACCCUUUGACACAAUCCCUGUCUCCAUGAUGGAUAACGUCCUGGAACUAUGAAGUGCUCCUGAAAGCGAAUUAUUAUAUUUUCAUGGGUUAUUUGUCGUUUUUCUCUUAUUACCGGUGUUUUUGUAAAAAGAGGGCGACCAAAUUACCACCUCAUCGACAGGGGGAUUGUGCGAUAGAUCUCCAGGUUAACGCUGCGCUUCCCAAGAGUCACGUGUACCCCUUGUCACAGGAGGAGACGGUGGCUAUGGAGACAUAUGUCAUGGAAUCUCUGGGACAGGUGUACAUUCAGCCCUCCAUCUCACCCGCCUCCUCGCGUUUCUUUUUUGUGAAGAAAAAGGAGGGAGGUCUGCAUCCGUGCAUUGAUUACAGAGGUCUAAAUGGUAUCACGGUGGGGUUUAGUUACCCGCUACCUCUCAACGCUACAGCGGUGGAAUCAUUUCACUGAGCAAAGUUCUUCACAAAACUGGAUCUCAGGAGCGCGUAUAACCUGGUCGCGUAUUAAGGAUGGAGAUGAGUGGAAAACCGCAUUUAGUACCACAGCGGGCCAUUAUGAGUACCUCGUCAUGCCGUAUGGGUUGAAGAAUGGUCCAGCCGUCUUUUAAUCCUUUGUAGACGAGAUUCUCAGGGACCUGCAUGGGCAGGGCGUGAUUGUCUAUAUCGAUGAUAUUCUGAUAUAUUCCGCCACCCGUGCCGCGCAUGUGUCCCUGGUACGCAAGGUGCUUGGGAGACUGCUGGAGCAUGACCUAUACGUUAAGGCUGAGAAAUGUGUGUUUUCCAAACGAGCCGUUUCCUUCCUGGGUUAUCGCAUUUCCACCACGGGGGUGUGGAUGGAGUGUGACCGCGUUAAGGCCGUGCGUAAUUGGCUGACUCCAACCACGGUGAAGGAGGUGCAGAGGUUCUUAGGGUUUGCCAAUUACUACCGAAGGUUUAUCCGGGGUUUUGGCCAGGUAGCGGCUUCCAUUACCUCACUGCUGAACGGGGGGCCGGUGCGUUUGCGGUGGUCGACUGAGGCGGACGGAGCCUUCAAGAGGUUGAAGGUGCUGUUCACCGAAGCACCCGUGUUGGCGCACCCGGACCCGUCUCUAGCAUUCGUAGUGGAGGUGGGGUGGCUGGGGUGGGUGCCGUGCUAUCACAGCGCUUGGGUAUGCCACUGAAACUCCGCUCCCUGCGCUUUCUUUUCGAAGAAGCUCAGUUCGGCGGAGCGUAACUAUGAUGUGGGGGACAGGGAGUUGUUAGCGGUGGUAAAAGCCUUGAGGGUGUGGCGACACUGGCUUGAGGGGGCUAAGCACCCCUUUCUCAUCUGGACCGACCAUCGGAAUCUGUAGUAUAUCCGGGCAGCUAGGAGACUGAAUCCGCGUCAGGCAAGGUGGGCCAUGUUCUUCGCCCGGUUUAGGUUCACGAUUUCCUAUAGACCAGGCUGCCUGAACACGAGGGCCGACGCGCUGUCCCGUCUUUAUGACACUGAGGACCGGCCCAUCGAUCCGACUCCCAUCAUUCCAGCGUCUAGGCUGGUGGCACCGGUGGUAUGGGAGGUGGACGCGGACAUCGAGCAUUAGUAUUGGAACCUGCGCCUUCACAGUGUCCCGUGGGUCGCAUGUACGUGUCGCUCGGUGUCCGUGAUGAAUUGAUUCGGUGGGCGCACACUCUACCCUCUUCGGGUCAUCCUGGUGUGGCGAGGACAGUGCGGAGUCUCAGGGGGAAGUACUGGUGGCCCACCUUGGCUAGGGACGUGAGGUUCUAUGUCUCUUCCUGUUCGGUGUGCGCCCAGAGUAAGGCUCCUAGGCAUCUCCCGAGAGAGAAGUUACAGCCCCUCCACGUUCCACAACGGCCAUGGUCGCACCUGCCUGUCUGCAGAAGAGAAGUGCUGACUGCCACCGCAGUGAGGCACCCGUGUUCAUACCGGGGGACAGGGCCUGGCUCUCGACCCGGAACCUGCCCCUCCGCGUGCCCUGCCGGAAGCUGGGGCCGCAGUGUGUGGGGCCCUUCAAAGUCCUGAGGAGGAUAAACGAGGUGUGUUAUCGGUUACAACUCCCUUCCUAUUACCGUAUUAACCCCUCAUUUCAUGUGUCUCUCCUCAGGCCGGUGGUAGCUGGUCCCCUACAGGAAGAUGAGGUGCCGGAGGUCCCUCCGUCCCCUCUGGACAUCGGGGAGGUCCCCGGCGUACAGCAUACGGGCCAUUCUGGACUCGAGACGCCGGGUGAGGGGCCUGCAGUACCUCGUGGACUGGGAGGAGUACGGUCCGGAGGAGAGGUGCUGGGUGCCGGCGGAGGACGUCUUGGACCCAUCCAUGUUGAAGGAAUUCCAUGGCCUCCGUCCGGAUCGCCCUGCGCCUCGCCCUCCGGGUCGUCCUCGAGGCCGGUGUCGGCACGCUGCAGGAGCCGCGUGUCGGGGGGAGGGGAACUGUCACGACUCCCACCGAAGGUGGCGCCCCCUCCUGCUCGGGUGGCGCUCGGCGGUCGUCGUCACCGGCCUACUAGCUGCCACUGAUUCCUUUUUUGUUUUCCCACUUUCUGUUACUGUUUGCACCCGUCCUUAGUUGGGUUGAUUAGCGGGGCUAUAAUAGCUAGCUGGCCCGCCUGCUCUUUGUGCGGGAUUGUUUCUCUGUUGUUUGCUUGUGUACAUGCUGAUUGUGUUUUUGCGCUAGUGCGUGGUUUUUGCGCCGUCUGUGUUUUCCCCUGUGUUUGGGGCACUUUGUUUUGUGUGCGCUCUCAUCGCUGUUUGGGGUGGCUUGUGUUUUCGCCAUUCGGCCCAUUAAAAGUCACUACCCUGUA
rnacentral:lncRNA from 1 species